GUCCCAGUAGCUCAGUUGGAUAGAGCAACGGCCUUCUAAGCCGUAGGUCGCAGGUUCGAGCCCUGCCUGGGAUGCCA
rnacentral:tRNA from 1 species